CCACCUACGCUACAGAGGGUAACCGCACCGGUGGGCAAUACCACAACUCCGGGGUAUCAAAAGACCGCUCCAAUGUGUUAUGGGUGCAAGCAAGUGGGGCACAUCAAACCUAAUUGCCCACAACGUACUACAGACCGCUGGGGGCGGACACCAGUACCACCAACCAAAGCAGCCACACACUGUGUGCAAGAGGAUUACAACUCUCUGACUCAAG